GGUCGCGUGGCCUAAUGGUUAAGGCGCUGGUUUUCGGCACCAGUCAGUAAUCUUCUCCUCUUUGAUCUACUGUCAACUGACUCCAACAAGGAGAUUGAGCGUUCGAAUCGCUCCGUGAUCG
rnacentral:tRNA from 1 species